GUUCACACAGGUGUGACUCUCACACGGCCCUGCUACACCAUUAGCAAGCUGUUGCUACUUACGUGUUAGCAAAAACUUGCCUACUAACACACAAGCAGCGCCUCUCUCCACCACGGAACAUAGCAAGUCGAGCGUUGACAUCUGAAACACGUAUGCCUCUCUGUGUCAGCCACGGUGCCUCUUCCCCCGGCAGUUCAGUGUAAGGUGAGCCAGUCUAUACUGUCAUCUGUACGGUCAACGGAGCCUGACGAAAGGGGAGGAGGCGGCAGAGAGAGACGGAGGGAUGUCUGCUGUGUGCAUACGAGGGAGAAGUUGAUCAGACCGGAGUUGUGGAAGUCCUUGAGCAAAGUCACGUUGUGGAGGAGGACAAAGGAGGUGGGCACGGCUGCUCCGACACCCUGAAGGAAGCCUUGACCAAGAGGCUUCCAUAUACCCAGACCUUUCCGGAGUACAUCAGUGGGAUGAGCUUUGAAUUGUUAAAUAUUUAACAUCAGCUUGCAGCGCUACCCAUAUCGAUUAAUGCCCAGGCAGUCAUUAAAACUGCCCUUCCAGUGUGGGCCUCGCUUAAUCCAAACACGGCAUAGUGAUGGGCAGACGCAAAGUAUUUGUGUGAAAAAUGUGGUUUUAAAUUAAAGUUUUGUGUAAUUUA